CUGGGAACGCGAAGAACCUUACCAAGUCUUGACAUCGGAAUGACCGUCCCGUAACGGGGACUUCCCUUCGGGGCAUUCCAGACAGGUGGUGCAUGGUUGUCGUCAGCUCGUGUCGUGAGAUGUUGGGUUAAGUCCCGCAACGAGCGCAACCCUUAUCCUUAGUAGCCAGCAGUUCGGCUGGGCACUCUGGGGAGACUGCCAGGGAUAACCUGGAGGAAGGUGGGGAUGACGUCAAAUUAUCAUGCCCCUUAUGAUUUGGGCUACACACGUGCUACAAUGGCGUAAACAAAGGGAAGCGAAGGAGUGAUCUGGAGCAAAUCUCAAAAAUAACGUCUCAGUUCGGAUUGUAGUCUGCAACUCGACUACAUGAAGCUGGAAUCGCUAGUAAUCGCGGAUCAGAAUGCCGCGGUGAAUACGCUCCCGGGUCUUGUACACACCG
rnacentral:rRNA from 1 species